CAAAUGGCCCCACGUUUGACUCUAGAAUACUUUGGUAUACAGAGGAGUUCAUGGUCGACUCAGUGACUGUAAAAUCAGUCUAAAUUAUUAUGCCUCCGCCACCGUGCUUGACAAUUGGUCUGAGGUGUUUGUGCUGAUAUGUGUGUUAUGGCCAAUUAUCUCCAUUUUGGUUUGUUCAGAUGCAACUUUACAAAUUUAAGCUGUGCUGGCAUGUUCUUUUUAGAUAUAAGAGGGUUUCUUCUGGCACCCCUGGGGAUAUCUGCUCCUGAGAAGAUGGGUAACUGUGAAUAAUUCUCACUGUGGAAUGAUGGACUUCACUUUGAUUUAAAAUGUCCUUUUAAGCCUUCCCAUGGCAGCAACAAUCACUUCUUUAUAACCAUUGUAGCCUCCUUUGUUUGAACCCACAUAACUCGUUCUAGAGAAAAAGUAAAAAGAGUUAUCUUAAUCUGAAGGACUUUUUGUCUUGUACCCAAGUGUAUUCAGCAAAUAAAUAAAAUUGAUCAUGCUUUAUGUGCCAAUGUGCAUGGCAUUUGGUCCUCAGGAAAAGUCAGAAGAUGAACAAAAUCAUUACAGGUUUUCCUCCAGGGAUGACUUGCCUUGCAGACAGCUUCACAUAAAACCACCCAAUAACUGUUGAGACUGUUGAUCGCAACAUGAAGUGGGAGAUUGACUUUAUCCCUUGAGCUACACUGUUAGAAUGGGGGGAAAAAGUUCCCAAAACUCUGCUGAAGAGUAGGAAAAAGCCAGUAGCCAGUACAUACCUGACGGCGUCAGAACAACUUCAAAGCAGCCGUACUCUUAGAAAAACAAAAGUUUUGACUUGUCCCAGAAAUGCUGAGGCAUCUGUGAAGUAGGAGGUACAGUUACUUUUUUUUCAUUCUCUUUUAUUUCUUUUGGAAAGUUUGGAUUUACAUUGAAUUUGAACACGCGGCUUGACCAGCAUUUGAACCAUCCAAAUACAUGUGUGUUUAAAAUCACUUGGCGCACCCUGAUUAUACACGGGUGACCUCCAUUCAUCUUAUUAUGCAACUUCUAAAAACAACAGCUGCACCAGCAAUGUUUUUGGGUGUGUCUCAGACAAGCGUGUCACAACUUAUGUAAUCUUUUUUUAUACAGUAUAUGUACAUAUUUCAGAAGUUUGUAGAAAUGUCUUCUUUUUCUCUUUGCCAUAUUUCUUUAUUUCAAAAAGUGUUAGCACUUUUUCUUUCCUGUUAUUAUUAUUACACAGUGUUCCUGUCAGUCAUCUGAAGCGCUGACAUUUAUCACCACUGAGAAUCAAUUUAUAUAUACCACCUCGUGUUUACGUUACCCAUCUGUGGUUCUGUCUGAUCAGACAAGAAAAGGGAAGUGACUGUUCUUUGCAAAUAACUUCUCCAACAGUUUCUUGGAAUCAGAUGUUCCAGCUAAUCAGCCCUGCCUUCACAGGACGUUUUUAACGCAUUGCCAGAUACACUCACUAGGUCCACCUCUCCCAAGUUGAGCUGCGCCCGACCCAAGGUCCGCCAGCCCUCCCACCACAAUGGCCGGAACUUCA